GUAGGCCUGAAAUUUGGUUUUAUUUACAACGAUAAUCUUUGUAGAAGAUAAAGAUGAGAUGACAAACUUGUGAAAAUCACCUUCCAUGUUAGCUGUACAAAUAUUAUGUCCUCUUUUUACUGUCUUUCCGCUGCGGCAAAGAAAAAGAGCCUUCGACAUUUCUAGUUUAAGUUUGUGAGGCAAAUGAGGAUGAGGAUGACAGUCCUAUGCGCCUUUCUCCUGUGGUGAUGAGCUUCUCAACACGAGAAACUAUAUGUUUACCAUAAGUGUACCUCUUCAGGGUGUUUAAGUGGACUUUGAUACGAGAAAGAAUCAACUCAAGACUCCGAUCAUCACAGGUCUCAAGAACCUUUUGAACAACAUAAUUUCCAAAUGGAUCUUUCAU
rnacentral:misc_RNA from 1 species